AAUUUCCAGAUCUAAACAAUGUCUAUUCUCAAGAAAUGGGUAUGGGAGGGGUACAAGGAAAGAGUCUGGUGCAGGUGUAGCAACUCAGGAUUGGCCCGGCUGUGGUUGCUGGGGAGAUUUUCCCACUCUUCCCCAGCAAACAAUAUCACAAACACCUGGCAAUGGGCUUCAUCAGUGGGCACACACAUGGGUUCCAGGAACUGUCAAAACAUUGGCAGACACACGGGUUCAAGGAGUGGCCAGAGCAUUGUGUAACUCUAUUUUUCUAAAUCAGUGAAGCUAGUUCUCCUAACAAUGAAAUCUAUCUUGCCAAUAUCAGGGCUUCUGUGACCUUUUACAUUCUGUCAGGAUCUUUCAAUAAGAACAAAAUCUCUUGAAAUGUAUGUUUACUCAUUAGGCUAAUUUUAAUAUUUCCUUAUUAUUGAAUAUUUUAGAAAUAAACUUAAAGGCAGGCAUAGAAUUGAGGCAAAGACAGGCAUGAGUUCUCGUCUGCUCCGAAGUCUGUGUCCCAGAGUUAAAAACUGGCCUAGGGUUACAUAGUGAAAGUGUACUGGCUGUUUUUUUUUGUGUCAACUUGACACAAGCUGGAGUUAUCACAGAUAAUGGAGCCUCUCUUGAGGAAUUCCCUCAAUGAGAUCUAACUGUGCCACACCUAUUCCUGUGGAAACUGCAUGACUGGCCCAAAAGCUUGGACGCCAUUCUGAGGCAAAAAGUUUCACGGAAACUUAGUCUCCUGGAGUCUUGGCAUCCCAUAGCACGAAUGCUCCAAACUUUGUCCUUGCAUCAGUCGGUGAACGGAUUUGUGUGCUUUCCUUCAGUAUCGUUUUAUUAUAAGAACCUCCAAGGAAAGAUUUGACAUAUAGCUAAGUUAGAUUGGUCUCCACCAGUGUACCAAUAUUCUAGGAAAUCGUUGAGCCAACCUUGGGUUUUGAAUUUAGUUAGAAUGCUACUCAUUCAGACGAAAUGCCACCAGUGUAGAUAGUGAAAGAAAUCAGGCAUUACAAUUUACUAGAUAAGAGCUAGAAAUCCCAGGGCUAGUUCUACAAAGUAAACUUAGAAUAACAGCCAAGUCACUCCCAUAUACAGGAAUUUACAAUGGCCUAGGAAGAAGGAAGGUUGUGGUCUAAGAAGGAACUAGAGUAAUUACUUAGAAUAACAGCUGAGUCACUCCCAUAUACAGGAAUUUAAAAUGGCCUACAGAGAAGAUGGAUUAUUCAAUAGACUAGAAUUGGAACUAUGGCAAGGGCAUAAAGCCCUUGGCCCUGGCUUCUAAGAAUAAGCUGACCUUAGUUGGGCCUGCUUUUUAUCCCAGUUGUAAACACUGUCUGGUUCCUUGUAGCUUUUAUGUAUGCAUUUCUGUUUUGUGUAAAGAGUUAUUUUGCAUCGGGCUACCUCAGUAUACCUUGGUUGAUCUUAAUGUAUCACCUAACUUCCUUGUUUUCUUCUGUGAUAUAAGUCUCAUCCUCGCUUUGAGACAUUACAUUCAGAUCCAACACUUUCUCUGCUGUUUGUCACCCUGCUGACUCCUUGCCCAACUGAGUACCGGAACCCUGAUUCUCCUGAGGGUUGAGGGACUGACUGAGUCCAGUCCGAGGCACAACUGUAAGGCAUUUUUUUCAAUUAGCAAUCAUGGCGGGAGAGCCCCAUUGUGGGUGGUGCCAUUACUGGACUGGCAGGGGGUGGUGCCAUCCCUGGACUGGCAGUCUUGGGUUUUAUAUGAAAGCAAGCUAAGCAAGCCAGGGGAAGCAAGCCAGUAACAUCCCUCCAUUGCCUCUGAAUAAGCUCCUGCUUCCUGACCUGCUUGAGUUCCAGUCCUGACUUCCUUGGUGAUGAAGAGCAAUAUGGAAGUGUAAGCUGAAUAAACCCUUUCCUCCCCAACUUGCAUCUUGGUCAUGAUUUGUGCAGGAAAUCCUGUCUUAAAAAAAAAAAAGUAAAUCAGACAUUCAUUUCCAUCAUUUCUUCUCCUUUGAAAGGGCAUCCUGGGGUGUCAGUCAAAAGUAUAGGAAGAAAUAUGUCCAUUGACCCUGCAAGGCCUAAAUGCAACUUACUGUAUGUUUUCUACCAAUAGAAUUAAGAAGUGUUUGUGAGUUUUUGUUACUACUCAUUUCUAGCACUGUCAGGCUGCCUAGCUAUACCUUUGUAACUAGAGUUUUCUUGAGACUAAAUAGGAACUGCCAGUGUGAAAACCUUGCUAAGUUUCUCCUAAAGUCUUUAGUAGAUAACUUUUUUAUUUUUUCAAAAAAAUUGUCUUAAUGCAAGAAAAUAUAAACAAUAAUGGCAAUUAGCUUUUUUGCAUUUAUGACUAUAAUUCUGAAGAAUUCUGUAGUUCAUAAGGAAAGGAUCUUAUUAUAAUUGUGUCUCAUACUUGACUCUUGUACUGUAUAUCAGUUUGUUAAUGAAAAUACCUCAUAGAUGAGAGCAACAAUAAUUUAACUGUGUUCAUACCAUAUUAAAACUGAUUUUUGGAUGCCCUGUUCAAAUCAGAACCCUGUGAAAUAAAAGAUUAAGAAGC
rnacentral:lncRNA from 1 species